CAGUUGUGAAGGUGGUGGGGGCAGAUCUAGCCUCUCAGAGUGAAGGAUUUGGAAAUUUCCUGGAGUGCUUGGAAAGGAUGAAUUGAGAGUGCACUGGUGUGGGAAAUAUUUCUUACAGAAAAUGGCAUCAUCCGUG
rnacentral:lncRNA from 1 species